GCCUCGGUCGUCUAGUGGCCUAGGAUACGGGACUGUCACUCCCGUGACCCGGGUUCGAAUCCCGGCCGAGGCG
rnacentral:tRNA from 1 species